rnacentral:rRNA from 1 species
UACGAAGGGGGGCUAGCGUUGCUCGGAAUUACUGGGCGUAAAGCGCACGUAGGCGGCUUCUUAAGUCGGUGGUGAAAUCCCAGAGCUCAACUCUGGAACUGCCUUUGAUACUGGGUAUCUCGAGUAUGGAAGAGGUGAGUGGAAUUCCGAGUGUAGAGGUGAAAUUCGUAGAUAUUCGGAGGAACACCAGUGGCGAAGGCGGCUCACUGGUCCAUUACUGACGCUGAGGUGCGAAAGCGUGGGGAGCGAACAGG